UCACGUGCUGGGUGGCACUGAGGUGAUGAU
rnacentral:piRNA from 1 species